rnacentral:rRNA from 1 species
UACGUAGGGCGCAAGCGUUGUCCGGAAUUAUUGGGCGUAAAGAGCUCGUAGGCGGCUCGUCGCGUCGUCCGUGAAAACCCGCGGCUUAACCGCGGGCUUGCGGUUGAUACGGGCGGGCUAGAGUUCGGUAGGGGAGACUGGAAUUCCUGGUGUAGCGGUGAAAUGCGCAGAUAUCAGGAGGAACACCGGUGGCGAAGGCGGGUCUCUGGGCCGAUACUGACGCUGAGGAGCGAAAGCGUGGGGAGCGAACAGG